rnacentral:rRNA from 1 species
GACGAACGCUGGCGGCGUGCCUAACACAUGCAAGUCGAACGGGGGUAUUUAUUUCGAUGAAUACCUUAGUGGCGAACGGGUGAGUAACGCGUGAGCAACCUAUCCUUAAGAGGGGGAUAACAUCUGGAAACAGAUGCUAAUACCGCAUAAGACCACACUGCCGCAUGGCAGAGGGGUCAAAGGAGCAAUCCGUUUAAGGAGGGGCUCGCGUCCCAUUAGAUAGUUGGUGAGGUAACAGCUCACCAAGUCAGCGAUGGGUAGCCGAGCUGAGAGGCUGAUCGGCCACACUGGAACUGAGACACGGUCCAGACUCCUACGGGAGGCAGCAGUGGGGAAUAUUGGGCAAUGGGGGGAACCCUGACCCAGCAACGCCGCGUGAGGGAAGAAGGCCUUCGGUUGUAACUCUGUCAUUAGGAGAAGAAAGUAGACGGUACCUAAUGAGGAAGCCCGGCUAACGUACGUGCCACGCAGCCGCGGUAACUGUAGUCGU